rnacentral:tRNA from 1 species
CCAGGGGUAGCUCAGUUGGUAGAGCAAAUGGUUGAAGCCCAUUGUGUCGGCGGUUCGAUUCCGUCCCCCUGGA